GUGGACUGUAGGCUUAUUAUCCUUUGCUUUAUGUCUGAUAUCCACUUAUGAUGAGACAUGCCUGCUUCUGGCUGCACCAAUUACUUCAGAGAGGUUGAUGGGCAUUGAAGACACUUAUUAUGGAAUCUACUUUCAAUGUGACAAGUCUAGCCAUUUGGGCAAGAAACUGCUCUUGCCUGGACUGCUUUAUGGUAUGCUGUAUGAACUGGACAUGCUGGACCCACAGGAAAAUGACUGCUGAAUUUCCCAAAAGAAGGUGAGACAGUUCUUCAGGGAUCCUGCUUCAUGAAAGAGUCUGCCUGACAUUUUGCAGAACCCAGAAGAAAGAGCCGGACAAACUGCCAAUAAAGGUGAAAUAGUCUUUCAAAUUUCCUCCUUCACUGAAAAGUCUGCUGAAUACUAUGGGCCUGUAGGCUGAAUACGGAUGCUCCAAUGUUAAAGAAGAACUUUGGGGUCUCAAGUAUCCUAGGGUGCCCUCAAACUUCCUAUGUAUUGAAGAAUCACCUUGAACUUUGGACCCUCCUGCCUCUACCUGUCAAAUGCUGGGAUGACAAGCAUAUGGUACCACCCUGGUUUCUUCAGUGCCAGUGUCAACUAGGAGCUUCAUGAGUCCUGGGGAAACACUCUGACAACUGAGCUACAGCCCUGGCUCUUUAUGUAAUUCUUAAUCUUUCCCCCUUAUUAUCAAGGGCUCGCAACAUGUGUCUGACCAGGACCCUGAGAAGACAUAUGUUUAAAAUGAGAUGACACAUGUUAAUGAACCCAUCAUGGGGUCACACAUAAGAUAAACAUGUAUGUUUCUACUCAUGUCAUGCUACCUGGAGGCUUUCAUGAGCAGGUAUGCAUGUAUAAAGGUUAGCUAGGUAGCUGGUAGUUCUGCAUAUUCCUAGUCAACAACACACAGACUCUCAUCUCUGCAACCCUCAUCUCUGCAGAUCAGUAGCUAGUCCAGGAUGGCUCUCUCUGUUGUGAGUAGCAUAAGAUUGAAAUAAAGGUACUGGUUUUGUCUGGAGGAGCAUCUCCUCCCAACCUCCUCCAGGCAUCAGUGUAGUU